UAAUUCUUUAUUUUUGAAAGCCGAUAACCGAUAUGUUGGCCGAUAAAUCUAUAUCCAAAUUUUUAUAUACUUUUUGAGAGCCUGAUUACAAAAAAGGUCUCAUCAUUAAAAGCCACAUCCCAAACACUUCAACAUAAGCAGCCUAGUUUGAACGGUGUACGUUUUAAAAAUAAUUUUACUCUCCCAUUACCAAAUUUAGUCAUAAAAAAGUCUUACAAAUAAAUAAAAUAAAAGUCACUGGACAUCAUUACACGUGUAAAGAAUCAAAAUGAAUGCGCCAUAGAUCAAUAAAACGGAAUAGCCUCUGCACGGACAAUAAUUAAAUGAUUUUAAUUACUAAACCAUAUUGUUGAU